GAUGAAGAACGUAGUGAAAUGCGAUACGUAAUGUGAAUUGCAGAAUUCAGUGAAUCAUCGAAUCUUUGAACGCAUAUUGCGCUCUCUGGUAUUCCGGAGAGCAUGCUUGUUUGAGUAUCAGUAAACACCUCAACUCCCUUUUCUUUUUUGAAAUUGGAGCUGGACUUGAGUGAUCCCAACGCUUUCUUCCAAGAAAGUGGCGGGUUGCUUGAAAUGCAGGUGCAGCUGAACUUUUCUCUGAGCUAUAAGCAUAUCUAUUUAGUCUGCCUAAAAAACAGAUUAUUACCUUUGCUGCAGCUAACAUAAAGGAGACUAGUUCUUGUGCUGACUGAUGCAGGAUUCACAGAGACAGCUUCGGCUGACUUUGUAAACUCGAUCUCAAAUCAAGUAAGACUACCCGCUGAACUUAAGCAUAUCAAUAAGCGGAGGA
rnacentral:misc_RNA from 1 species